rnacentral:rRNA from 1 species
GACGUAGGGCGCGAGCGUUGUCCGGAUUUAUUGGGCGUAAAGAGCUCGUGGGCGGCUCGUUGCGUCGGCUGUGAAAACCCGCAGCUCAACUGUGGGCUUGCAGCUGAUACGGGCGGGCUUGGAUUCGGUAGGGGGGACUGGAAUUCCUGGUGUAGCGGUGAAAUGCGCAGAUAUCAGGAGGAACACCGGUGGCGAAGGCGGGUCUCUGGGCCGAUAUCGACGCUGAGGAGCGAAAGCGUGGGGAGCGAACAGG